rnacentral:rRNA from 1 species
GCGGUAUGCUUACACGACUGCAAGUCGAGACGGACUUCUUAGGAAGUUAGUGGCGGACGGGUGAGUAACGCGUAGAGAAUCUAGCUUCAGGGUUCGGGACGACAUUGGGAAACCGAUGCUAAUACCGGGAUUGUGGCCGAGGAGGUGAAAGGCUGAGCUUGCCUGAGGAUGGAGCUCGCGUCUGAUUAGCUAGUUGGUGGUGGUAAGGGACUACCAAGGCUGACAAUCAGUAGCUGGUCUGAACGGAUUGAUCAGGCCGCAACUGGAACUGAGACACGGUCCAAACUCCAUACGGGAGGCAGCAGUGGGGAAUUUUCCGCAAUGGGCGAAAGCCUGACGGAGCAAUACCGCGUGAGGGAGGAAGGCUCUUGGGUUGUAAACCUCUUUUCUCAAGGAAUAAAACUGAAGGUACUUACUUGAGGAAUCAGCAUCGGCUAACUCCGUGCCAGCAGCCGCGGUAAUACGGAGGAUGCAAGCGUUAUCCGGAAUGAUUGGGCGUAAAGCGUCCGCAGGUGGUUGUGUGUGUCUAUUGUCAAAGGGUCAUGCUUAACAUGAUAAAGGCAGUGGAAACUACACGACUAGAGUGCGUUCGGGGCAGAGGGAAUUCCUGGUGUAGCGGUGAAAUGGGUAGAGAUCAGGAAGAACGCCGGUGGCGAAGGCGCGCGGCUGGGUCCCUUCUGACGCUGAGGCGCGAAAGCUAGGGGAGCAAACGGGAUUAGAUACCCCGGUAGUCCUAGCCCUAAACGAUGAGGACUAGGUAGUGGGCUUGACAUGCGGCUCGCUGCCGAAGCAAAAGUGCUAAGUCCUCCCGCCUGGGGAGUAUGGUCGCAAGGCUGAAACUCAAAGGAAUUGACGGGGGCCCGCACAAGCGGUGGAGCAUGUGGUUUAAUUCGAAGGAACGCGAAGAACCUUACCAGGCCUUGACAUCCUAGGAACCCCGAUGAAAGUUGGGGGUGCCCGCAAGGGAGCCUAGAGACAGGUGCUGCAUGGCUGUCGUCAGCUCGUGUCGUGAGAUGUUGGGUUAAGUCCCGCAACGAGCGCAACCCUUGUCCUUAGUUGCUAACGGGUCAGCCGAGCUCUCUAGGGAGACUGCCCGCGAAAGCGGGAGGAAGGCGGGGAUGACGUCUAGUCCGCAUGGCCCUUACGGCCUGGGCGACACACGUGCUACAAUGCCCGGCACAAAGCGUCGCCACAUCGCAAGAUGGAGCUAAUCGCCUAAAUCCGGGCUCAGUUCGGAUCGGGGUCUGCAACUCGACCCCGUGAAGCCGGAAUCGCUAGUAAUCGCGGAUCAGCCAUGCCGCGGUGAAUACGUUCCCGGGCCUUGUACACACCGCCCGUCAAGCCACCAAAGGGAGGAGCGCCCGAAGUCGCCGAUCCAACCCGCAAGGGAGGUAGGUGCCGAAGGCGAGACUCCUGA